GACGAACGCUGGCGGCGUGCUUAACACAUGCAAGUCGAACGGUAAGGCCCUUCGGGGUACACGAGUGGCGAACGGGUGAGUAACACGUGGGUGAUCUGCCCUGCACUUCGGGAUAAGCCUGGGAAACUGGGUCUAAUACCGGAUAGGACCACUGCCUGCAUGGGUGGCGGUGGAAAGCUUUUGCGGUGUGGGAUGGGCCCGCGGCCUAUCAGCUUGUUGGUGGGGUGAUGGCCUACCAAGGCGACGACGGGUAGCCGGCCUGAGAGGGUGACCGGCCACACUGGGACUGAGAUACGGCCCAGACUCCUACGGGAGGCAGCAGUGGGGAAGAUUGCACAAUGGGCGCAAGCCUGAUGCAGCGACGCAGCGUGAGGGAUGACGGCCUUCGGGUUGUAAACCUCUUUCAGCACCGACGAAGCGCAAGUGACGGUAGGUGCAGAAGAAGGACCGGCCAACUACGUGCCAGCCGCCGCCGUAA
rnacentral:rRNA from 1 species